rnacentral:rRNA from 1 species
UACGUAGGGUGCAAGCGUUAAUCGGAAUUACUGGGCGUAAAGCGUGCGCAGGCGGCUUUGCAAGACAGAUGUGAAAUCCCCGGGCUCAACCUGGGAACUGCAUUUGUGACUGCAAGGCUAGAGUACGGCAGAGGGGGAUGGAAUUCCGCGUGUAGCAGUGAAAUGCGUAGAUAUUCGGAGGAACACCAAUGGCGAAGGCAAUCCCCUGGGCCUGUACUGACGCUCAUGCACGAAAGCGUGGGGAGCAAACAGG